rnacentral:rRNA from 1 species
UACGGAGGGAGCUAGCGUUGUUCGGAAUUACUGGGCGUAAAGCGCACGUAGGCGGCUUUGUAAGUUAGAGGUGAAAGCCCGGGGCUCAACCCCGGAAUUGCCUUUAAGACUGCAUCGCUUGAAUCCGGGAGAGGUGAGUGGAUUUCCGAGUGUAGAGGUGAAAUUCGUAGAUAUUCGGAAGAACACCAGUGGCGAAGGCGGCUCACUGGACCGGUAUUGACGCUGAGGUGCGAAAGCGUGGGGAGCAAACAGG